ACUAUUGCUACUCUUGAUUCAGAUCUGAGGGGAGAAGACAAACUAAAUGAUUCAGUUCAUCAUUGGCAUCCUUGUGAACAGUUCUGAAGAUAGCUUUCAGAGACUAAUUACGUGAUAUUUCUCUCAAACUUUUUCUACAAAUAGCCUGGGACUUCCACUGACUGUGCCACUGCUUCAGCAUCCACCAUCAGUGGCAUUGGCCGCCCUCUGAGCCAAAUCUUGGCGCUCCCAGCCGCUGCUCCUGGACCCCGCCUCCAUCAGCUCCACUUCACCAGAGCCGCCAGUCCGCAUGAGUAGGGGUAGCGUAUCCCCCUACAGCGGUCAAAUCCCGGUGCACCCAGCCGGUUCUCUUGAACCCCGCCUCCAUCAGCUCCACUUCACUGGAGCCGUCAGUCCGCAGGAGUAGGGGUAGCAGGUUCACCCAACGUCCGACGCCUUCUUCCAUCUCCAAAAAUCUUGUUUUUGAGUUCAGUUCUUCAUCACAUGUUUCACUAGCUGGAAUUGCUUGACGAACAGAGCAAAGGGCCCAAACCCACUAUCGUGCAAGAAAAGAAAUCAAAGCCCCAACCAUCAGCUGCUCAAAUCAUCAGGAAAAAACAUUUUCAGGUUAUUGGUGCCGCUGGAUAACUGUCAUAGUUUGUCGCCAGCAAAGUCCUCGAACUUGGUCUACACCAGUAGUAGAACUUACUGGUUCUCCGUGACCUAAAGUUGAAAACAGACAAAAAUUCUCAAGAAUUGAGGCUUCGCCAAGGAACAAGACUGGUAACUAGCGCAAAGGAGACUAUGUCGAGAGGUGGCACUGCUAGACUUGCUGAUGUGUAGUUAUGGCAUAAAAAAGA